AUUGAACGCUGGCGGCAUGCCUUACACAUGCAAGUCGAACGGCAGCACGGGGCAACCUGGUGGCGAGUGGCGAACGGGUGAGUAAUGCAUCGGAACGUACCUUUCAGUGGGGGAUAACGUAGCGAAAGUUACGCUAAUACCGCAUAUUCUGUGAGCAGGACAGCAGGGGAUAGCAAGACAUUGCGCUGAUUGAGCGGCCGAUGUCAGAUUAGCUAGUUGGUGAGGUAAAGGCUCACCAAGGAGAAGAACUGUAGCGGGGCUGAGAGGAUGAUCCGCCACACUGGAACUGCGACACGGUCCAGACUCCGACGAGAGGCAGCAGUGGGGAAUUUUGGACAAUGGGGGCAACCCUGAUCCAGCCAUGCCGCGUGAGUGAAGAAGGCCUUCGGGUUGUAAAGCUCUUUCGGCCGGGAAGAAAUCGCACGGGCUAAUACCCUGUGUGGAUGACGGUACCGGAAUAAGAAGCACCGGCUAACUACGUGCCAGCAGCCGCCGCGGUAA
rnacentral:rRNA from 1 species